rnacentral:rRNA from 1 species
CCUACGGGCGGCUGCAGUGGGGAAUAUUGCACAAUGGGCGCAAGCCUGAUGCAGCCAUGCCGCGUGUGUGAAGAAGGCCUUCGGGUUGUAAAGCACUUUCAGCGGGGAGGAAGGCGGUGAGGUUAAUAACCUCAUCGAUUGACGUUACCCGCAGAAGAAGCACCGGCUAACUCCGUGCCAGCAGCCGCGGUAAUACGGAGGGUGCAAGCGUUAAUCGGAAUUACUGGGCGUAAAGCGCACGCAGGCGGUCUGUCAAGUCGGAUGUGAAAUCCCCGGGCUCAACCGGGGAACUGCAUUCGAAACUGGCAGGCUAGAGUCUUGUAGAGGGGGGUAGAAUUCCAGGUGUAGCGGUGAAAUGCGUAGAGAUCUGGAGGAAUACCGGUGGCGAAGGCGGCCCCCUGGACAAAGACUGACGCUCAGGUGCGAAAGCGUGGGGAGCAAACAGGAUUAGAUACCCUAGUAGUC